rnacentral:lncRNA from 1 species
CCCCGCCCCGCGCCGGGCUAGUGGCGCCAGGUCCCUCCUGGAGCGGCUCCAGCCGCACAGCCGCCGCCGCUCGGGUUCGUCCUCCGGCAGCUGAUGUCCAGCCGGGUGCUCGGGCGGUACGCAGUGGCACACAGCCACAGGAUGUCAGCCGAACGCACACCUCGAAGGUUGGCCUUCACAGAGGCAUUCCUGUGACAUCAGAUGAAUCCCUGAAGGGAAGAGGCAAUCACGUCAAGAAAUCUACACCACUAUGGAAAACAGUAUGGAGGUUCCUCAAGAAAUUAAAAACAGAACUACCAUAGGAUCCAGCAACCUCACUUCUCACUUCUGGAUUUGAUCCAGCAAUCCAAAAAAAAAUGAAAACACUAAUUCAAAAAGAUAUAUGCAUUCCCUAUGUUACUGCAGCAUUAUUUACAAUAGCUAAGAUGUGGAAAUAGCCUAAGUGACCACUGGUGGAUAAAUGGAUACAAAAGAUGUGGUACAUAUAUAGCCAUAAAAAAAGAAUAAAAUUUUGCCAUUUGCAACA